rnacentral:rRNA from 1 species
ACGCUCGACACCUACGGGAGGCNGCAGUGGGGAAUAUUGCACAAUGGGGGAAACCCUGAUGCAGCGACGCCGCGUGAGCGAAGAAGUAUCUCGGUAUGUAAAGCUCUAUCAGCAGGGAAGAAGAUGACGGUACCUGACUAAGAAGCACCGGCUAAAUACGUGCCAGCAGCCGGGUAAUCUGAGCGGGCUGGCAAGGC